rnacentral:rRNA from 1 species
CCUACGGGAGGCAGCAGUGAGGAAUAUUGGUCAAUGGGCUUACGCCUGAACCAGCCAAGUCGCGUGAGGGAAGACUGCCCUAUGGGUUGUAAACCUCUUUUGUCAGGGAGCAACGCAUGCCACGUGUAGCCGGACUGAGAGUACCUGAAGAAAAAGAAUCGCCUAACUACGUGCCAGCAGCCGCGGUAAUACGGAGGAUGAGUGCGUUAUCCGGAUUGAUUGGGUUAAAAGGGUACGUAGGCGUAAUGCCAAGGCCGCGGUAAAAUCGGGGGGCUCAACCUCGCUCAGCCGUUGAAACUGGCGUUCUUGAGUGGGCGAGAAGUAUGAGGAAUGCGUGGGGUAGCGGUGAAAUGCAUAGAUAUCACGCAGAACUCCGAUUGCGAAGGCAGCAUACCGGCGCCCAACUGACGCUGAAGCACGAAAGCGUGGGUAUCGAACAGGAUUAGAUACCCCUGUAGUC